rnacentral:rRNA from 1 species
UACGUAGGUGACAAGCGUUGUCCGGAUUUACUGGGCGUAAAGAGCGCGCAGGCGGUCGUUCAAGUCGAGUGUGAAAGCCCCCGGCUCAACUGGGGAGGGUCAUUCGAUACUGAUCGACUCGAAGGCAGGAGAGGGUAGUGGAAUUCCCGGUGUAGUGGUGAAAUGCGUAGAUAUCGGGAGGAACACCGGUGGCGAAGGCGGCGACCUGGGUAGAUACUGACGCUGAGGUGCGAAAGCGUGGGGAGCAAACAGG